rnacentral:snRNA from 1 species
AUACUUACCUGGCAAGGGAGAUACCAUGAUGACAGAGGUGGUUUUCCCAGGGCAAGAAUUAUCAUUGCACUCUGGAUGUGCUGACCCCUGCGAUUUCCCAAAACGUGGGAAAUUUGACCACAUAAUUUGUGGCAGUGGGGAACUGCAUUCCUGUUCUCCCUGA